rnacentral:rRNA from 1 species
UACGUAGGGUGCAAGCGUUAAUCGGAAUUACUGGGCGUAAAGCGUGCGCAGGCGGUCUUGCAAGACAGAUGUGAAAUCCCCGGGCUUAAUCUGGGAACUGCAUUUGUGACUGCAAGGCUGGAGUACGGCAGAGGGGGAUGGAAUUCCGCGUGUAGCAGUGAAAUGCGUAGAUAUGCGGAGGAACACCGAUGGCGAAGGCAAUCCCCUGGGCCUGUACUGACGCUCAUGCACGAAAGCGUGGGGAGCAAACAGG